ensembl:lncRNA
GUUGUCUGUGGCCGCUUUGGUGCCAUAGCAGCAGAGUCGAGUAGCUGUGACAGAGGCUAUACGGUCCACAAAGCCUAAAUAUUUAUUACCUGGUGCUUUAUGAAAAAGUUCGCCAAUCUCUGUUAGUUCUUGUUUCCUGCACAUACAGCUCCACUGAAUCUGGGUUAUAGAUCAAUAUCAAGUGUUCCCAUCAAUACAGCUAUCCACGCAGCACACUGGUCCUCCAGCCCUGCUCCUCACACCGUAAUGGCCUGCUGACCCGGCUGUCUUCUGCUCAAUAGUGGAAGCUCCCAGAGGGCAGGCAUUCUGCCUGAAUCAUCUCCAUAUUCCCAGGCAAGGCUGCGCACAAGCACCAAAUAGACGACAUUCUCAAAUCAGGGAAGAGAGGGCAGAUGGAGAGCAGGCCGGGCCAAGGCAGCCAAGGGCGUGUGCAGGGCAGCGGCAGCCAGGAAGAGAGACUAUACAGUCAGUAUUACUCCUGCUAAAUACCCAGAGGGACCACAACCAACUUUCCUGGUCUGUGUUCCAUUAUACAAAAGAGGACUACAAAGAAAAGGACUGUGGAAAUAAAUGCAUACUCUUCUUUUGAAAUUCGUGAGGAAUGUUCAUGAUUUUUAACCAUAAGACAGCAAAAUGGGAUAAGGUGAUAAACAAUGCAAACGGUACUGUAACUGUUAAAGAAAAAAAGGAAGAAAUGCAAAGAAAAAAGAAAGUCAUCACUAGGAAUCUUAAAUUCUGAAAAAAAGAGUUCAAAAAGAUCUAAUGGGGAGAAGAGAACUUUCCAACUGUUGUCAUCCUGCUAUUGUAACCUGAGCCCCUCCCAAGUUUUCAGACUCCAAAAUCAGAUCUAAUUAAAAGAAAAUGGAAAAGGACUUGGAGCCUUUUCAGCUCUGGAUAACAUGCAGACAAAUAAAUUAAAAAGGGGGAGAAGUGGAACUAACCCAAUAAUCCGUGAAAAGCUCAUUUCCCUCCCGGCCGCCACUGAUGCAACACUGUCCUUCCUCCCUCCCAUCCUCUGGUUCAGGGGCAGUGAGUGGAGAAAUUGGCUAACAAGAUCAGAAAAUUUAAUUACAGCUCUGCCGUCCCCUUCCGAGAAGUUGGCUGUCACACUUCCCUUUUGCAGAUCGUCGUCUGAAUGUGCUGUCUCUGAUGAGCUUCCCCUCCGCCCCAGUCUCACUCAUCUCCCGACAUCGGCUCGGGACGGUGGACACAGACACUUUAAUUUGGGGGUUUAGAAGGAUUAGAUAUGAAGAUUAAAAGGAGCAGUUGGAGAAGAGAAUGUCGUUAUCCUCUCAUUUCCUUUGGUCUGCCUGAGCAACUUUGCCCAGUCUUAUCCCAAGAGAAGUACUGUGGGAGCCCCAAAGGCUUAGCAUCCUCGCAUUCCAGACCUAAAGAAGCCCUGAGACCCUGUAGAAGGAGCAGACACACCUGCAUUCAAGUGUCUGUUUUGCAUGCUGACUCAGAGAUACAGGAACGGCUUCCUUGAGCAGUGUUUCUAGCAAGAUUCUGAAAUGCUUUGGGCUCAAAACAAACACACGAACAAAAGAAUAAUGUGGUCCAUUAAUGAUUUCUUCCAGGGGGGUAGAAUGCAGAAUGGUGUCAAAAGAACCAAGUGUUUGCCAUUUCUGUUCUAGGGCAGCCAGAGGUUUAUGUCCAAAUCCAGUGUGCAAACCACUGGAGAGUGACAUGGAACAGGUGUCUUCAAAAUUCAAAGUUUAGCCAAUUAAAAAAAGGACUCUUGGUUUGCUUCUCUGUCACUAGGCAAAGCAAGGUAGUCAGACAAACUGUGCAGAGGUUCCCGGCCUUCACGUGACUGAGAUGCUAUUUCUCUUCACAGAAUGUAGUCGGCCCCUAUGUCCUCAGACCACCACAGGUCUCCUCCUAGAUUAGGGCAAGAGACAUAAGCCCAGAAAAGUGACUGUGGUAAUAAGGGGCAGUCUCCUGCUAGUGUGUCAGGGAUCCUUAACUUGGCCCGGUCAAUGCUGCUGGGAAGACAGUGCAGCAGGAGGAAGAGGAGCCAGCCAAGGAAAGACAGAAUUUCAACAAUGGAUGGAUUAGAGUACCACAUUUUUUAACAGCAGACUCUUGAAAUGCCAGAGGUCGGAAUCAUUAUGUGCUGGGACAAAAGACAGGGCCAGGGGCUGGAGUGGAAGCCUUGCACCUGGAGGGAGGUGUUCCCUGGGAAGCCCAGGCGAGCUCUGGGCAUGGGCUGCAGCCCUGCACUUUGCUGGCUGGCUGGCUCUGGGUGGCCUGCGUGCAUUCACCACCCACCUCACCCCGCCACCCACCCAAGAUGAAGCUGUCCUUCCUGGCUCCUCCUUUCUGGUAGAAGUAGUGCCAACUUUUGUUGUCUGGAGGAUAGCACCUAAGGGUAUGGACCUCCCAGUAGCCAUGUUGCUUUUUGGACGUACAGAGCUAUUUAGAGAACCACAGCCUUGAAGACCCAGGAGAAACAUCACUGUUUACUGACUACUUAGAGCAGGGGUCACAAAAUAUGGCCCUUGGGCCAAAUCUGGCCUACCACCUG